CGGGUGCCGCGGCUUGGGCCGCCUGGCUGAGCUCCUGCUGCAACCAGUCAGGGGCGCCUGCGGAGCCCCUUGAGGGUCAGCGCGCGGUGCAGGCAGCGGUGCUGGGCGUGUUGUCGCUGCUGGUACUCUGCGGGGUCCUGUUCCUGGGCGGCGGCCUCCUCCUCCGCGCCCAGGGUCUGACAGCGCUGCUGGCCCGCGAGUGGCGCGCGUCCCGCGAUGCCGAGCCCGGCGGCGCCAGCGGAGGCGACGACGACUCCUAGGUGCCUGGUUGCGCUUGGGGGUCGCGGCCUCCAGGUGACUUCGGACUCCCGCCGCCCAAGCGCGCGUCCGACGGCCGCUGCAGUCCCGGUGUCUUCCCCCGAGGCGGGUACGCCGCGCACAGAUUCCUGAGCAUGGAAUGAUCUGCCUCCCAGAGAGCUCUCUUUCCAGCCGCCAUACUGGGAACCCCUGCCACCUUUGACCCAUUCACGGUGCAGAUGACAGACUGGGAGACACCUGGACUGUGGUGAGACCUCCACCUGGGAUCCUUGCACCCAGUUGCUGCCUCUGAACUGCUCCACUCAACCUCCUGAAGUACUCCAGGAUGUGGGCUUGGGAGGUCUGCACUCCAGGAGGGGAUAAGCCCAUUUGGCGACCACUGUGUGUCCUGGGCACUGAAGUGGCCGCACACCCUGGAUGCCCAGUGCAGCAGACGCUGGCUGUGCCCUUUGCCUGCUGGGCCUCUGAGAACAUGAGCACAGCCCCUGUCCCAUUUGGUGCAGGGCACAAUGGUCUGACAGGCCAGUGACCUGUCCCUGUGGAGGGCUGUGGGUUGGUGACACAUAUUUGGAAACCUAGAAUGCCCCAGCAAUCCAGCAAUGCCUUGUCACUUUCUAUGACUUGUUAUUAAAUAUGCUGGUAAUGUGAGUUUUGGGUAUACAGUUUGUUUCUAGCCCUUGACUCUUAGAAUUAGUGGUUUGUUUCCCCACUCCACUCCAGUUUUACCUGUUUCUAGAAGAUACUGAAAUAGCAACCCCAGCCAUGGCCCCUCCCCCCUGGUUUCUCCCUAGUGGUGGCCAUUCCCCCUCCCACCCUCACAUCCAAAUCUUUCUGAGGGUGCAUGUGAGGAAGGGUGGAAAGUGACUCUCAUGUCAGCACUUGACUGCCCCUUGUGGCCAGUGUGAAUGAACAGCACUGAUUCAUUCGACCAGACACUGUUGGAGUCUGAUUAGAGUCCUCCCGAGCCCUGCGCUUUCAGAUAAGAGUGGAUUUUGUGUGUGCACCAAAUUCCAGAUUGUAAGCCUUCUUGAUCCUCAGUCUCUUCAUCCAUAAAAUGAAGAAGAUGAUGUUGUUGUGAGGAUCGAAUAUGCAAUAUGCUUGUCCAUUGAUAAAAGGCUUUCUGCACUCUGA